GAGCCCGUGGCUCAAUGGUAGAGCAUUUGACUCAAAUAUUAAAGGUGGCGGGUUCG
rnacentral:tRNA from 1 species